AGGUGUUUCAUUUGUGUGAAACUCGGCAGUUUUGAGGACAGCAGACAAGGACAGCGACCGAAGGAAUUCAGGGACCUUUUACCAACGUUUCGGCAAGGAAUUGCCUUUGACCUUGGAUUCUGGAUUGUUUCCUCCUGGACAAAGUAGAUGGCAAGCCACCGUUGAAUCUCAACCUCCCUCAUUCCUGAGGAGAAAAACAUCUCUUCCUUCACUCCCUCAUUGUGAUGUGUGUCCCUGCACAGUCUGUGAAUGGCAUGGACCCAAGCGUCUCGUUCCUUUUGGACAGCCCCAGGAGCAGCAGUCUGAUCUGGUACAGGCACCCGGAACCUGUUAUAAAUCCACAAAACUUAACUUCACUCAUGAACUGAGGCAAUUCAGGUGAAUCACGAUGGACCUGGGCACCGAGUAUGUCACCUCACCAUCGGUGGAGCCCCGUCGCCUGAAGGGGACCAGUGUUAGCUGGCCCGGGUGGAGCUGGACCUCAUAUCUGGAAC